CAUUUCCUCCGGUUUGGGUAAUGUCAGUUUUGAAUGUUAGAAAUAUAAGAGAGAGGAUACUCCAAAUAUUAUAAAUUCUAGUUUGGAUCCUUAGCUUAUAAGAGCUAUUCAGUUUUCUGUUGAUUUCUGGAUCAAUCUCUGGACUCCAAAGUAAUUUAACUCUCACAUGGCUUCCGAGGGGUGUAAUCUGCCGUUCGAACACAGUCCACGUUUAAUUGGUAGGUCUCCAUCUUAUUUUUGUGUUAGUUUUGUUCGAUAAGUUCAUCUUCUUCUCUUUCUCUUGUUCGAUUUAGAAUUGAGUUUUGGUUCUACUCUUGAUUUUAGUUGCGGGCUAUAUCGAAUUUGCCCUGUAUUUUGUGUCAAUGAAUUUUGUUACAUACAUUUGUCGUUUGGGAUUAAUUCAUCCCGUGCGUAGUUAAUCACUGUUUUGUUUAAGUGAAUCAUUCGUCCUUGUUUCAACCUUGUUCAAUUAUGUUUAGUCAUUUCAAUAAUUAAUAGCGUAGUUAAUUGUUUUGUUUGAACUAUCACUGAAAUUUCUCGAUUUGAAGCAUAAUGAUGUCCUGUUGAGUUUGAUAUUUAGCAUUAUUGUGGUUUUUGGUUCAGAUUCAACUAAAUUGUUUAAUCAGGAAUCAGUGUAGUUGAUUGUUAGGUGAAUUAUUUAUAGCUUUAGUAAUUUUGAGACUAAUUAGGAAUUAGUUUUGUUACAUGCUGAAGGGAUCGGGUAGAAUUAUAAAUUUUAGUUAUUAUAAAUUUUAGUUAUUUCAGGGGUAUCUUUGGAAUUGAAAAUAUAAAGAUUUGUUUAAAAAUAUAGUGGGGAACAUAAUUAUGUUAAAUAAAAAGAGGGGACAAGACAUUUGAGGAGCAUAAUGAUUAAAGUAAAAAGAGAGUGGAUUGUGGGGUCCACGUUUGACUGCUUUUGUUAAUUGAAAAUCAGAAAUAGUAGAAAGGGGGCUGGAAAUUAAAGUAAGAGGUAAUAAUAAAAGGGUAGUAAUAAUAAUUAAAGGGGGAGGUAAAUAGGGUCUUGUUUCAAAUAUAAUAGAAGUCAUUUGUCACUUAGAAGGGGGAGAAAAUUGAGAGAGAGAAAAUACUUUCAGAACUAGAGGGAAGAUAAACAACUGCUAUUGUUUAUUGAAGCUUCAAGCUUCUUUUCUUGAGUGUUAAAAAUCAGAAGGGACUAUUUUGGCAACUGGUUAUUUCUCUGUUGGUCUGUACUUGUUUUCUAAUACAAGUGGCAUUCAAUUAGUGUUGCUUGGGUUUUCUGUUGGUUUUCGUUUGGUUUGGAAAUAUAUUGGUCUGUACUUAUUUUCUAAUACUACUGGCAGUCAAGUAGUGUUGCUUGGGUUUACUGUUGGUUUUCGGUUGGUUUUCAAAUUCCUGGUUUUUCUGCUUGGUUGUAAUCUCCUGGGUUUUGCUGAUAUUCCCAUUGUUACUUGGUUACUCCUGUGUUGCUGAACACCUGUUGCUGUGUGUGUGGUGCUAUUGAUUCCUACUGAUCUUCAUCUUCUUUGUAUUCCAAUACCAGGUACACCACUUUGAAUCACUUUGAUGUACGCCUUGAAGAUGAAAUAAAAUGGGAGAAAUUUAUGUACUUAGUUAUAGUACAUUUGUAUUUUAGUUAUAUAUAUUUUCUCGCUAUGCAUUAGUUAAUCUUUGAAUCUUGUUAGUAAUACAGAUCCGCAAAUAUUAGGCAAAUAUAAUAUGCCGGUAAUUUCGUAGAAUGAACAUGCUUGAUGUUUAAUGUGUGAUUCAACGUAGCAAGGCUAAGAAUAUUAAUCCAUUAGGUGCGAGUAUGAGCAAGAUGAGUUAAUGUUUAAGUUUAAUAAACUUUUUUUAUAAGCUAUAGUAAUUAUGGUUAAAUCUAAUUUCAAAUAGUUGUGAAUAAUUAAUUCAAAUAGUUUUUAUAUAACAAUUCGAGUUUUUAAUCUAGCUAUAAUUGAUUUCUUUUGAAUAUUAG
rnacentral:lncRNA from 1 species